GAAGAUUUUUAAGGUGUGCGAGGUAACGUUUGCGAAGCCACAUGGCAAGGUACGCCGCACCGCAGUCGCAGUGCCACGGAUUUCGUGCAAGACGCAAUUGUUGAAUGUCAAUCAUAGCGUCGAGUAUUCGUGCUGGAAUACAGCGACAGGGUCCUUCGGCACAAAUUUCCCAAUCGCCAAGUCGUCCUCUGAUUUGCCAGACUGAUAACAACAAUGAUAACGGAUUAAUUAUGAUUUAACAGAGCAUACAAUGUAUUUCGAUACAACCGAUGUUCUGUACAAUUUACAAUGAGGUUAUAUAAUGAUCCGAACAAUGAUGUAGCAUCAAAACACGCGCUCAAAAAUUCUGGACACAAGGUACAACAAGAGAUCGAUAACAAACAUAGAAAAAAUAUAAUCCGAGGGGUAAAAUACAUGGCGAUGGCUUUCGGACGAAAAUUAUCAAGACUGAUCCGUACUAAGUGCACGUUGUGCCCGACUAACCAUGGACCAGUCGCAUCCUCAUUGAAACGGUUAUUAAUUUGAUAAUUAUUGUUAUGACAGGAACAAACGAUGAUGGGUUCAUAAUGGAGAUUGAGGUCCGAUUACACAGAUUCAUAUUGUCAUAUUGAAUAUACGUACGUUUCAACAAUA